rnacentral:rRNA from 1 species
UCCGUAGGUGAACCUGCGGAGGGAUCAUUGCUGGAACGCGCCCCAGGCGCACCCAGAAACCCUUUGUGAACUUAUACCUUACUGUUGCCUCGGCGCUAGCUGGUCCUUCGGGGCCCCUCACCCUCGGGUGUUGAGACAGCCCGCCGGCGGCCAACCUAACUCUUGUUUUUACACUGAAACUCUGAGAAUAAAACAUAAAUGAAUCAAAACUUUCAACAACGGAUCUCUUGGUUCUGGCAUCGAUGAAGAACGCAGCGAAAUGCGAUAAGUAAUGUGAAUUGCAGAAUUCAGUGAAUCAUCGAAUCUUUGAACGCACAUUGCGCCCUCUGGUAUUCCGGAGGGCAUGCCUGUUCGAGCGUCAUUUCAACCCUCAAGCCUGGCUUGGUGAUGGGGCACUGCCUGUAAAAGGGCAGGCCCUGAAAUUCAGUGGCGAGCUCGCCAGGACCCCGAGCGCAGUAGUUAAACCCUCGCUUUGGAAGGCCCUGGCGGUGCCCUGCCGUUAAACCCCCAACUUCUGAAAAUUUGACCUCGGAUCAGGUAGGAAUACCCGCUGAACUUAAGCAUAUCAAUAAGGCGGAGGA